rnacentral:rRNA from 1 species
UGGUGGAUCGAUCCGUCUGGUUAAUUCCGUUAACGAACGAGACCUCGACCUGCUAAAUAGUACGGCGGACGUGGUCUUCGGACCGUCUUCCGCGCGAACUUCUUAGAGGGACCGUCCGCUUCCAGCGGAAGGAGGUUCGAGGCAACAACA